rnacentral:rRNA from 1 species
UACGUAGGGUCCAAGCGUUGUCCGGAAUUAUUGGGCGUAAAGAGCUCGUAGGCGGUGUGUCGCGUCGGAUGUGAAAGCCCGGGGCUUAACUUCGGGUCUGCAUUCGGUACGGGCAUGCUGGAGUUCGGUAGGGGAGACUGGAAUUCCUGGUGUAGCGGUGAAAUGCGUAGAUAUCAGGAGGAAUACCGAUGGCGAAGGCAGGUCUCUGGGCUGACACUGACGCUCAUGCACUAAAGCGUGGGGAGCAAACAGG